GGUCCCCGGGGAGCCGGGAGGCAGGAAGCUCAGCAAGUGCGGCUGAGCACGCGGCAGGAGCAGGCGCUGCGGAAGAAGCGGCACUGGCAGGAGGCGCACGGGUCGCAGCAGGCGGGUGACGGUGGCCAGCAGCUCUUGGAAACGCUGGGGCUGCCCGAGACGGCCACGCCCGCCCCACCCGUCCUCACCUCUGCCUGGCAACUCCUUGAGGGAAUCCCACGCAGCUCCACACUUUAAAAAAACUACCAUCUCUGGUGUCUCCCUUCCAGUUGCACACAACCCCUGCAGUUCUGCCUUCACAGUCCAUCCGAGGUUCAUCCACUUCCUCACCACCUCUGCUACCCUGGGCCAGGUCCUGGUUAUCUUCCGUCUGCUGUCCUGGUUCCCUGACAGUCCACCCUCCAGUGCACCAAAGGGACCUCUCCUGAAACCUAUGAUGGCAUCUACUCUGGCCUAAACUCCCCAGUGGUUUUCUUUGCAGCUAGAAUGAAACAAACUUGACUUGGCCAUUGAGGCCCUCUGUGGUGGACCCCGCCCACCUUUCAGACCUAUCUGCCGCACUGCCUCGCUGGCCUGCUUUCUGUGCAUGGAAAAUGAGUUCCUGCUGCAGGGCCUUUGAGCUGGCCACCCCCUUCCUAGGGACAGUGCUGUUCAAUACAGGUAGCCACUAGUCAUAUGUGUAUGUGGCUCCUGAGUACUUGAAAUGAGUCUAGUGCAACUGAAGAACUGAAGCUUCAAAUUUUAUUUAAUUUUAAUUAAAACUAGUGUAAAAUUUUUUCACUAAAAACUUUGUUAGGACUACAUUUGACUUAAACUGUUAAAAAGUAGCAUUGGAAUUGAGAUGUGCUGUAAAUGUAAAAUAUACACCAGGUUUCAAAGAGUGCAAAAAAAUGAAUGUAAAAUAUCUCAACUUUUAAUAUUGAUUACAUAUUAAAAUAAUAUUUUGGAUAUACUGGGUUAAAUAUUUUCAAGUACGUGCUUCUUUUUACUUUUUAAAAUGUGGCUACUAGAAAAUUUUAAAUUGUAUGUGUGGCUCACUGUAUUUCUUUUGGGCAUAGCUGCUCGAGAUUACUGCAUUUUUUAGUCUUUAUAUUUAAGCGCUGCUUCUUUAGGCUUUCUCCAACCAGCCUUCCCUUCAGUGUGUCUCAUUACUAUGCUUUAAGUUCCUUCACAAUGUUUAUCAUCAUCUGAAUAUAUUUUACCUAUUUAUUGGUUUACUUGUUCACCUCUUUUCCCCACAGGAACGUAAGCUUCAUGAAAUCAGAUGUAUCUCUCUUGUUCGCUUCUACAUUCCUAGUACCUAGCAUGUAAAUUGAUUUGUCAAUUAUAUAUUCUUAUAUGUCAAUCAUCUGAUCUGCUUGUUUACUUUACUGAAGGCCCAGAGAGGACCAGGGACUUUCUCAAGACCACACAGUGCCAGGACCCAUUUCCCAAUGCCUAAUCCAGGACUCCCUGCUUUGGCUACAGCUGAUGUGAUAAACUGAGGCGCACUAAGACAGGAAUAAUGUGUAUGUUUCACAUUAUAAAUAAGGCAUUCAACAAUGCCUUAAUCCAGUAUUUCCUAAAGUGUGAAAAGCUGUACUAUGGUGGUGUGAUUUUAGGUGGAACAUGAAUAUUAAAUGAUGCUGAAUCGUGUUGGUGAGAAAGGAUGCCUUUUUCAAUCUCUUUCAUCUUGAAAGGCUCAGUUUGGUGUCAGUAUAUCCUUAAUGGUUCCCUAACACUUUCCAGUCUGCCUUUUAACAUAGAGAGUAAGCCUCAGAUUUAGAGCCUUUGGUAGGCAACACUAUCCAAAUGAAUCUCCUAACAAUAUUCUAUUUUCAUGUUACUUAUUUUUGUGGUUACCUUCUAUUUAUGAUAAGUAAUACUGGUUUUCUAUCACAGUUAUAUAUACAUAUAUAUUUUUUAAGUUUUAAUUUUAAACAAAUAUAUUAAAUAGAUGAAAAUCAGUCAUGGCAAAAGUUGUGGAAAUGGUUCUGAAAUAACUGAAGUUUAGAAAACAUUGAAUUUAUACAAAAGAAUGAGUGAAGGGACUGUUGGUUACCAUGGGGAAGCAGUUGGGGUAAGGGGGUGGGAAGGGGGUUAAAGGGGCACAAAAAUUGUCAAUCAUAGUGUAGGUUGGUCAUGGGGAUAGUAAUACAGCAUGGAGAAUAUAGCCAAUGAUUCUGUAACAUCUUCCUUUGUUGACAGAUAGAGGCUGUACUGCGGUGAGGGGAGGAUUUAAUAAUAUGGCUAACUGUUGAACCAUUGUGUGGUAUACUUGAAACUAAUAUAAGAUUAUAUAUCAACUAGAUUUCAGCUAAAAAAAGAAAGAGUGAUGGUGGAAUUUCAGGUGGAGGGAUAGCUAGCAUAAGAAGAUGCUUUAUUAGUAGGUAAGCUAUUUUGCUCGAUAGACCUCAGCUCUCCGAGCUUCUGCUGGGUGAUGUGGUGGUCUGGCUCAGGCACAUUGAAGGUGAUCAAUGUGAGCACAUUCCCUGCUCUUUCCUGACAGGUCUAGAAUAUCCUGUUUUCCUGGUGAGAGGCAAGGCAGUAAAGGAUGUUAGUUUUGAACUUAGGUUCUGGAGUUAAAUAUCCAGGUUUGAAUUCUAGCUCUGCUAAGUAAGAACUGUGUGAUUUUAUGUUAGUUACUGAACAAGGAAGGCCAGGAAGCCUUUAGGUGGCUUUCAGUUUCUUUCAUUCAUGUAGUUCUGGAAAAUAUUUCAUUUAGUUCUUAGCAAGAACUCCCUU